GGGGGCUAGUGGACUACACUUCCCAGAAAGCCAGAGGAGAGCACCGUCCAAGUUCUCACCCACCUCAGGCGGAAGUGGUGGACUCCUCGGAGAUGCUGGACCACAGUUCCCACAAUACCCGUGGGGGCAAAGUUCACGCUGUUGGCUUCAUGGCCGUAAUAUGGAUAUCUACACGGAGGGCUAGCGUUACUCUCUCCUGAAUCCGUGAGCGGAAAAUUUUCGGGGCCACCCCAACAACAGACCCACCCAAAAAGCCAUCCAACUAGUGAUGCCACUCCUCCAUCUGGUGACUCCUUUAUGGCGGAAGUCCUAGCACGAAAACCUGGGAGGUGGCCAAACUAGCCCAAAUGUCAUGGGUGAAUUGUGAAGACCACAGGAAAGAAACGUGGACACUUGACUUAGUGCCAGCAGCCUGAGCCUCAUCUCCUGCUCCUGUCUACCACCGUCUUCACAAUCCUGAUGGGUCUACACACCACCUCUUUUAAACUUUGUGCAGGCAAGACUUCCCCUCUAGAAAGUGCCUGAACACUAUUCUGUCUCUCUGUUCUGGACCUUCUCCUAGAAAGUCUCCCCCCCACCUCUGAUGAUACCAAAGGACUACUGUCUUGACUUUUUGUCAUCGAAACCUAAUGUUAGGGGUGGCUUCCUUGUGUCACACUGGAGUUGCUGUACCAUGCACAUCAAUUGGCAGGGAGAAAUAAAACUUUUUCUAGAUGACAUGACUGUCUACACAGAAAACUCCAAGAAAUCUACAGAACAACGUGAACUAAUAGGCAAGUUUGGCAAUGUUGUAGGAUACAAGGUCAAUGUAAAACAAUAUGUUGUAUAUACUACCAAUGAACAAUUGGAAAUUGAAAUUUGAAAAAUAGUACGAUUUAAGUUAGCACCAAAAAGCACAGAUUACUUAGGUAUAAGUCUAAUAAAAUAUGUGCAGGACCUAUAUGCUGAAAAUUACAAAUAACUGAUGAAAGAAAUAAAAGGAGUCCUAAUAAGCAGA
rnacentral:lncRNA from 1 species